rnacentral:lncRNA from 1 species
GGAAUUUCCGCAUGAAAAUUUCACAGUAUAUUCUUAAGAUACUAUACUUUCGAAAUAUCGAAAAAAAAAAAUCGAUUUUUUGAAAUUUCUAGACCACCGGGUCCCCUUAACGGAGUUACUUUUUGUCACUGCUUUCAAGAAAGUAACUUUUGCGGUCGUAAUUGAGUUUCGUGUAUGAAAAAUUUGGAUACACAAUUUUUUUUCCACGCGAUAUCCACUUGACUAGAUUUUGUUUGUCAAAUAUUACAGUAUUCUUAGCAGAAAAAUCAGCUUCAGAUUGAUUUUCGGAAAUCAACUGAUCACAUUGUUUAUUAUGUCUGUAUCGAAGUGUUUAGCCCGAAAAGACAAUAAAUUCAUAAAUCAGAGUUAUUGACCAUUUGUCAUUCAUUUACUAAAUAUCGUGUACAGUGAUGCAUUUUUGUAAUGCGAAAAUACACGUGAAAAACUACAAGCAAAAACCGGAUACAGCAACAUAAUUUAACUAAUUUCUGAUGAAAUGAAUCACACUGUGGUAGAAAUUUUCGUUUAAUCGCUGGGCCAUGAUUAAUUUUGUUCAGUCGCUUUUGAGUUACUUUUUUUUGGGUCUUUGAAAACUUUCUUUUCUUUUAAAUUUUGGAAAAAACGUAAAAAAGUAAAAUAUUAUUCCUUUCUAACAGUCGGUUUCGACAUCUCCCAUGUCACAGCUUCCAGAUGAUGUGAUUACAGUGCGAUGGUAAUAUCUCUUGACCAAGCAUGCAGCAACCAUCAGUCAUCACUCAAGUGUUGUGAACAUGUGCAAGGCUCUGCGCGCAUACGAGGAAAGAGAAGACGCAUUGUAAACGAGGAUUAUUAUUUACAGUAACGAAGUAGGCAAGGUUCCUACGUCCUCUAUGUGUAUUAACAUGAGGUUGUGCACGUCAAGGUGAGACUGGUGGAUAUUUACGGUAUCACCUAAUCUAUACACAAAAUUUCGAACACGGAUUUGGGAAAUUUAUUAUCCACUCUCUGUGGAGCCAUUUUCACAGACUUUUUAUUUAAAAUUGGCAGCUUCGUUUCCGCUGCUCUUUUUACUUGCAUAUUCGUUUUAUACAUCGACCACUGCCCUGAAUUGUCAUCUUUAACAAACUACGAUAAAAAAUUUUACAAGGAAUUUUUUAUACUAGUUUUACAAUGUAAAUUAUUGCUGAAUCAUAUUUUUGUACCAGAAAUUAAUAGUUUCAGGAAAAAUAUUUUAUUUACACAUAUUUGUAGCAUUGCCUUUAUAUUGCUCUCCGAAACUAAAAUCUUUUUUGAUACUUUAAUAUUAUUCCUCCGAUUGAAUCGAAUUAAAUAACAGUUUGUAAAAUUUAGCGAUCGACAAACCCUCCAAGAUUUAUAAGCACAAUAAGUACAAAUUACUUGAUUAUUGUUAUUAUUCAAAAUAUAAACACCGACAAAGUCAAAUAAAUUGAUAUUAUUACUGGGGCGAAAUUUUGUUAGAAAAAGUAAGAAUAUUUAAAAGAACAUUACGUACGUUUAUUAGGUAAUAAAUUGUUAUAAAUAUUAUCACACACUUGUUAUGAAUGUUGCAUCUUCAUUUUUCAUCCUCUAUUUUUGUGGGAUUUUUUUCCGGGGAUGGUCAUAUUAUUAUGAUAUAUAUAAAUAUAAAUAUAUGACGGUUUCCACUUACUGCACUCUGUCUGCAUCGAGCUUAGACAUUUCUGGCUUGUAGCUGCACU